rnacentral:rRNA from 1 species
AUUGAACGCUGGCGGCAUGCUUUACACAUGCAAGUCGAACGGCAGCGCGGGGCAACCUGGCGGCGAGUGGCGAACGGGUGAGUAAUAUAUCGGAACGUACCCAAGAGUGGGGGAUAACGUAGCGAAAGUUACGCUAAUACCGCAUACGAUCUAAGGAUGAAAGUGGGGGAUCGCAAGACCUCAUGCUCCUGGAGCGGCCGAUAUCUGAUUAGCUAGUUGGUGAGGUAAAGGCUCACCAAGGCGACGAUCAGUAGCUGGUCUGAGAGGACGACCAGCCACACUGGAACUGAGACACGGUCCAGACUCCUACGGGAGGCAGCAGUGGGGAAUUUUGGACAAUGGGCGCAAGCCUGAUCCAGCAAUGCCGCGUGAGUGAAGAAGGCCUUCGGGUUGUAAAGCUCUUUUGUCAGGGAAGAAACGGUCUCAGCUAAUAUCUGGGGCUAAUGACGGUACCUGAAGAAUAAGCACCGGCUAACUACGUGCCAGCAGCCGCGGUAA